rnacentral:rRNA from 1 species
UAGGGAAUCUUCGGCAAUGGACGAAAGUCUGACCGAGCAACGCCGCGUGAGUGAAGAAGGUUUUCGGAUCGUAAAACUCUGUUGUUAGAGAAGAACAAGGACGUUAGUAACUGAACGUCCCCUGACGGUAUCUAACCAGAAAGCCACGGCUAACUACGUGCCAGCAGCCGCGGUAAUACGUAGGUGGCAAGCGUUGUCCGGAUUUAUUGGGCGUAAAGCGAGCGCAGGCGGUUUCUUAAGUCUGAUGUGAAAGCCCCCGGCUCAACCGGGGAGGGUCAUUGGAAACUGGGAGACUUGAGUGCAGAAGAGGGGAGUAGAAUUCCAUGUGUAGCGGUGAAAUGCGUAGAUAUAUGGAGGAACACCAGUGGCGAAGGCGGCUCUCUGGUCUGUAACUGACGCUGAGGCUCGAAAGCGUGGGGAGCAAACAGG